CGCGGGUCAGACAACUGCUGCGGGUUUGGUGGAGAAACGCGCGGGAGCAGAGUCAGGGGAAGUCGGUGUGCGGGAGGAAAUGUGUGGACGUCUAGUGACCCUACAGCUGGAUCCGAACCGUGGCAGAGUCAGAGAUCUCCGUGUAUGAAGCCUGAGUUCUUUCCGCUGCCCCCUCUGGUGAAAUAACGUACAGCGCGUGAUUGGCUCGCUGGUGGCUCCCUUCUCUGUCAAAAAGUCCCCCACUGCCCAUGGCCUCCCGGGACAGCGGCGGCAGCAGCCGGGCCCGCGACACUCGACAUCGCGUGAGGCACCGGCCGCACACUUGGCUGCGUCUGGUCAUACCCGCACAGAGCCUCAUUUCCAGGGGCGACGCGCUUUCAUAUCCAGCAGCCUCUCAGAGUGCAUUGGAUUGCCACGAAGCGCACAUUUUGGCGAAGGAAUACGACUGGGGAGCAAAGCGGAAAAAUACAGACGCCACGGGCCACAGGUUGUGUAACAAUUUGAAACUGAGGCACAAGGAAAGAGGUGAAGGGGAAAGUCAUAGGAUGACGCGACCGGCCGUCUGUCGACAGCGGCCCCCGACAAAGAACAGGGGGAAAGUUGCUGCGAGGACAAGGUGGUGAAAGCGCCAGAUCCAUACUGAGCAUUUUGCUCCACUGCACAACUUAGCGCAGGGGGGAAGAAGAAGAAAGAUAAAAAAGGAAGCACAGAUCGAUUGUUCUCUAAGGCCGCUCCGAUGGUCUCGCUGUUUGUCAAGGGCAACGAGACGCUUGGUGUCGCGUGCGCCCCCUAAUUCCCCCCCUGCAGAUUGUCAGGACGCAUGGCGCUCAGCGAGAGCGUGACUUCCAGAGACGUUAUAUCACGAGGGGGGGGGGGGGGAGAAGUUGAAUGGAAACCUUUGACGCACUCGCCAAUA